GACGAACGCUGGCGGCGUGCUUAACACAUGCAAGUCGAACGGUGAACGAGGGAGCUUGCUCCCUCCGGAUCAGUGGCGAACGGGUGAGUAACACGUGAGCAAUCUGCCCCGAACUCUGGGAUAAGCGUUGGAAACGACGUCUAAUACCGGAUACGACGCGGGAGGGCAUCCUCUCCGCGUGGAAAGAACUUCGGUUCGGGAUGAGCUCGCGGCCUAUCAGCUUGUUGGUGAUGUAACGGCUCACCAAGGCGACGACGGGUAGCCGGCCUGAGAGGGUGACCGGCCACACUGGGACUGAGACACGGCCCAGACUCCUACGGGAGGCAGCAGUGGGGAAUAUUGCACAAUGGGCGCAAGCCUGAUGCAGCAACGCCGCGUGAGGGACGACGGCCUUCGGGUUGUAAACCUCUUUUAGCAGGGAAGAAGCGAAAGUGACGGUACCUGCAGAAAAAGCACCGGCUAACUACGUG
rnacentral:rRNA from 1 species